CCAGUUUUCCCUUUUCGGCGCUCGGAGACUUUCCCAUGCAGCGUUUUCGGAUUCUGGGUUCAGAAAAGCUCGUGUUCGGAAGAAUGCUUCAGUGCGUCUCUGCAGAUCGAAAUCGGGGGAGAAUGGACUGUAAGGAGAGCUGAAGAGAUUGAUAGUUGUUCAGGUAGAUGGCAACGCUGAUGAAGCAAAAAACAUGCCCUUGAGGUUCAAGGACUUGUACUUGAGCUUGAUGGUAUUACUUGCUGGCAAUCGUUGAUAAAUGCAUAUCUUCCUAGAGUCGAGGAAAUGGAAGUUGGCUGAUACAAAGCAUGCUUUAACUGCCUUGUUGUCCAUGAAAUUGCAAUGCCUUCUGGACAAUCUGGAGUGUUUACGGUUUACCAUUUGAGGUGAGUUCCCCAUGGUUUGUCUGAACAUGAGAUUUUUGGCCUCAGAAUUGUAAGCCUUUUGUGGCUGAUUGGGAGGCCAAGCAUGUAUUUCUGUUCAACACUUGGUCCAAGUCUCCAAGAGCAAGUAUCAUCAUACAUUAGGGGAUGACGUUGGCAAUUUAACCAGUCACAAGUGCUGCUUAUCCAUGCGGUGAGCUACAAAAGAAGUGGCAUGAGCAAUAAAGAGCUGCCAAAGAUGUUUCGAAUUGAUGCCCUGAGGAGGAAAUAUAUGCUUCUGCAAGAAUUUCACUCAUUUGGCCGUCAUGUCUUCGAGCAUUGGCUCCAGAUUGGCAUUGACAUGGGAAUAGGUUCUGGACAUCUAAUCGUACUGCAGUUUAUAUAACCAGAAUGUGGUUUUGGAUUCCAGAUUUUCUGAUCUGGCCAUUAUGUAACGCAAAAGUAUUGAUUAUGUAUAUCUGUUUGGGAAAUUAACCAUUCAUCAUUUUGGAGCAUUUGCUUCAUAUCAGUAAUUUGAAUGUCCAGGAAUCCCAAGUCUCCUCCCACCCCCAUUGUCCCGUGGAAGACUCAUGUACUCCCAUCCCUAAUCAUUGUUGUAAAACGAGCUUUAUGCUUAUUGUUAUGGAACUUGUAUUGGUUUACUGUAUUCUUAUGUAGACCC